AAUUCAUCAAGUAUAAUUUAGGUUUUCUUCAUUAGUUUCUGCUCAGGUUUUGGUGAUGUAAAAUGAAUGAAUCACAGUCCUGGUCCUCAAAGAUAGCCAUACUGAAGGAGAUGGACAUGAACAUAAAGAACCUCCAUGCUGAAUGAGAAGCCCAUCACAGCCCAUGAUGACCUGUAUAAUGUGCUUCUGGGAGAAAAGAAGUCUCAAAACCUAAGGGAGAUACCCAGAGUAAUUUCUCUAAGGAGUUGUUUGAGAUUGAUUGAAGACCUCAAUUGUGAGAAAAAACAAACUCAGAGAGGGCAGAGAAAGGCAACUGAGACCUUGCCAUACAAUGCCUUGGUGGGAUGGACUUUCUGGUAAACCUUGUGUUAACUCCUCAAGGAAAUGCCUGGGCAUAUACCAGAAUAGUGUCUGACAGUGUGAUGCAACCUAAUGCUGCCUCUACUUGCUGGAAUUUUACUUUGUGCCUCUGGGUGGUAAUUAGGGAUUGUUUGAUCUGAGUCAAUAAAAUACUAUUCAAUUUCCCCUGCAGACAUCAGAGAUGCAUUUAUUACAGUAAAAAUAUUUUCCCAUGCCACUAUUUGAAUUUAAAGCAUACAUGUCUGCUCAUUUAAUUUCUAGCUACUUACACCAGCUUUUUAACAUAUAGACUAAGUGCAAAUUAAAAACACAAGGACAUUACUCAUGUUUCUGGAGGUAAAGAUG
rnacentral:lncRNA from 1 species